rnacentral:rRNA from 1 species
GACGAACGCUGGCGGCGUGCGUAAUACAUGCAAGUCGAACGCUUUUUCUUUCACCGGAGCUUGCUCCACCGAAAGAAAAGGAGUGGCGAACGGGUGAGUAACACGUGGGUAACCUGCCCAUCAGAAGGGGAUAACACUUGGAAACAGGUGCUAAUACCGUAUAACAAUAGAAACCGCAUGGUUUCUAUUUGAAAGGCGCUUUUGCGUCACUGAUGGAUGGACCCGCGGUGCAUUAGCUAGUUGGUGAGGUAACGGCUCACCAAGGCAACGAUGCAUAGCCGACCUGAGAGGGUGAUCGGCCACAUUGGGACUGAGACACGGCCCAAACUCCUACGGGAGGCAGCAGUAGGGAAUCUUCGGCAAUGGACGAAAGUCUGACCGAGCAACGCCGCGUGAGUGAAGAAGGUUUUCGGAUCGUAAAACUCUGUUGUUAGAGAAGAACAAGGAUGAGAGUAAAAUGUUCAUCCCUUGACGGUAUCUAACCAGAAAGCCACGGCUAACUACGUGCCAGCAGCCGCGGUAAUACGUAGGUGGCAAGCGUUGUCCGGAUUUAUUGGGCGUAAAGCGAGCGCAGGCGGUUUCUUAAGUCUGAUGUGAAAGCCCCCGGCUCAACCGGGGAGGGUCAUUGGAAACUGGGAAACUUGAGUGCAGAAGAGGAGAGUGGAAUUCCAUGUGUAGCGGUGAAAUGCGUAGAUAUAUGGAGGAACACCAGUGGCGAAGGCGGCUCUCUGGUCUGUAACUGACGCUGAGGCUCGAAAGCGUGGGGAGCAAACAGGAU